UCCGAAGUUUCCACUCAGGAUAGCUGAGCGCCGAUGUGUCCCGCCCGUUCGCGGGCGUACGGACGCCGGUGGGACUCCGCGCUGUACGGCGCGGUAACAACACGCUCGUAACACGGAGGAUGUCUCAUACGGUAAAGCGAAUGAUUAGAGGACAUUGGGGCCGAAACGACCUCAACCUAUUCUCAAACUAUAAAUGAGUGAGAUCGCCGGCUUUACCUGGUACACCGCGUGAACCGCGUGCGAAGCCGGCGACGGAACCCUAGGCGCUUAGUGGGCCAUUUUUGGUAAGCAGAACUGGCGCUGCGGGAUGAACCGAACGCCGAGUUAAGGCGCCGAAAUCGACGCGUAUUCAGAGACCAUGAAAGGCGUUGGUUGCUGAUGACAGCAGGACGGUGGCCAUGGAAGUCGGAAUCCGCUAAGGAGUGUGUAACAACUCACCUGCCGAAGCAACUAGCUCUGAAAAUGGAUGGCGCUGGAGCGUCGUGCCUAUACUCGGCCGUCGACGGCAUAGUGGGGCCAGUCGUCGCUCGCGGCGGCCGGUCCCGGCAAGCCUCGACGAGUAGGAUGGCGCGGCGGUGUGCGUCGAAGGGCAGGUCGCGAGACCGCCUGGAGCCGCCGUCGGUGCAGAUCUUGGUGGUAGUAGCAAAUACUCGAGAGGGGCCCUCGGGGGCUGCCGUGGAGAAGGGUUUCUUGUGAACAGCCGUUGUCCAAGAGUCAGUCGAUCCUAAGCCCGGGGAGAGAUCCUCGUACCACGGGCGAAGGCGUUUUCGAAUCGCCCUUGGGGCGAGAGGGAAUCCGGUUCGUAUUCCGGAACCCGACGCGGAACCGCUCCCUAGUGUUCGGGGCUCUUUUGUCUCGUCUGGGUAACCAGAAUGAACUCGAAGAAGCCGCCGAGGGAUCUGGGUAGAGUUCUCUUUUUCUCUGUGAGCGUUGUACGUCCCUGGAAUCCUCUAGCCGGGCGAUAGGGACGCGAGCGCGAA
rnacentral:ncRNA from 1 species